rnacentral:tRNA from 1 species
GGAUGCAUGCCCGAAAGCUAAGGACUACUUUGAUAGAGUAAUAAUAGAGGUUCAAACCCUCUUGUAUC